GGUCACCUCUGUCCCCAGAGUCCUAGCUGUGACUCACUUGCUUUCUUGCUUCCCUGGCAAUGAACAAUACUACCUUCCUCAGCAGGUCCUGUGAAGGAGCAACGAUUUAAUGUGUGUGAAAGAGCCUUGGGUGGGGCCCGGCACGCAGUGGGCCCUCUUUGUCCCGCCCAUGGGUGGGGCCCAGCACACAGUUGGCCUUCGGAAGUACCGCCCAUGGCUCUCUGUCAGUCUCAGAGGGGCAGGUGACCUAGGAUUCCCUAUGAGAGAUAGAGCGGGCUCAUCUUUCAUGGGGGCCUUGAUGGGGGGUGAUGGUGUCUUAACUGGAGAAUUUGCAAAGGCCAGUAGGAGGUGCACCCAGGACCAUAGGGAGGUUGAACCAAGGACAGCUGCCCACAGCAGGUCACAGCCUGGGUCCUGCUAUCCUGAAAGCUGAUUUGGUUGCCCUCCGAAACCUCGUUAUGUAAAUCAGCAGUGGAGUACGCACUCUCAGUGCACCCAGUGGGUGACGCUGCCACGUCCAGGACACUGGACUGGAGCCACCUUUACAGAACCGGUUUGAAAUCAAACAGUGCCGUGGCACACAAGCCAGCUGAGCCAGAGGUGUCCAUGGCCAAGAGGGCCAAAGGCCGAAGGACCAGGGCAGACAAUGGUACAUAUGGGGGAGCUGGCCCUUGUCUACCAGGGAGCUAGAAGGUGACCAAUGGACCUGUGCCAGCCCGGGGAGCAUGUAGCUAUCGCUCCUCACCUUGGAGGUGAGGAGACUGACGAGCCCUCACGGCCAGUCAAGGGCAGGGCUCCGCAUGGGAUUCUGGACCAGCCCAUCUACUCCAGCAUCGCUGCCGAGUCCCUGACAAGCCUUUCUCCACAUCUCUGCAGUGUGAACACCCAGGCGCCUCCAUUCAGGCCUGGCUCAGUAGCCAAACGAGUCUAGUGAUGUCAUCGUUGCCAUGGAAACUCUCCCCAGGCGUCAGGCAGGACCAACCUCCCCUGUGCCGUUUCCCUUUGUGUGGACUUUGCAAUGCGUUGCCAAGGCAGUGAGGCCUGCUGGGUGAGUUGGCACAGGGCAGGGAAGGCAGACAAAACCCCACACUGCAUCCCAGAAACCACCACUCACAACACAACAGGAGAGACGGGGCAAAGGGGUGGAGGGAGGGCUGCAGUCUGCAAUCCCUGGUCUGGGGGGAGGGGUGUGGCAGUUUAAGGGGAGAGGGAGACCUGUUCAGGACCCCUGAUGCCAAUGGCCUUUGAGCAUUAUUAGUGGGAUCCUGUCCCCUGGAUCUGCUAGGCCUGGAUCUUGUGACAGGGCAGACAAGCUUGGCAGGGGGUGGGGAGUUUUGAGUGCAGGUCGCUCUGAGAAUCAUUGCUGAAGAAAGAAACCCGUGGAAUACAUUAGCUGUGUUAGCCUCUCCUGUCUCUCAGGAGCCUCAUGGCAGUUCUGGGGAAGCGCACAGAUGAAGCCGGGUGCCUUUUGUGCUUUGAGUUCUGUUAUCAUCCGUGGUGGUGUGGGAUUUGGGUUUCUUUCAAACACUGUAUAGCUCGUUGACCUUGACCUUGAAAUCCCCCUGUCUCUGCCUCCAGAGUGCUGAAACCGCAGGUGUGUGCCGCUAUCCCCGUCUGGUUCACUUCUUUGUGUUUCUUAUUGCUUGCCCCUGGUUACCUGUAGGAGCCUAACACAGUUUAGAUUCAAAAUGGGGAGGUCCAAGGUCCCACCCCGAGGCCUCUUCAGUUCAGGUUGGCCCCACAGCCUGGAAUCUAUUGGUUUUACAGAAAGAAUCCAGUCUACCUUCGUAGAGUAAUCCUGCUCCGUGUAUCAGGCCCUCCAACACCCAGAUCUAAGCCAAGGGAUUGUCACAGAGUUGGCCCCUCCCUCCCGGCUGCCUACAGAGGCUCGGAAAGCGAUUGGCUAGUAAGGAAAGCCAGUGUCCAGGCCAGUGUCUACAGGGCCACCUCCAGCGCAGUUCACGCCACACCCUCUUUUGUCCUACAAGCUGCAGGGGCCUCUUAGCUCGGGCUCAUUUAAAAGGUUCCUGCUCCUUGCCACUGUCUGUGGCUUGGUAGCCCUUGACUCCGGGGCAUAAAAUCUCCCCUGUGCUCCUGUUCUUAGAAAUCUCCAGGAAAAAAAACUUCAUGACCUUUCCCGGCAAAUAGCAGAGUCUCCUGCUUAGGGCUGAAGACCGUGGCCUUCCUGGGUUCACACCGAGUUUUCCUGCUUUCUUGGCCAUCUUCCUCCUUAACUUCCCAGAGGGCUGAAGGGGAGGACUCCAGUUCUUUAAUCCUCUGGCCUAGGAGGAGACAGAGAUUCCCGGGUGACCUGCUGCCCUGAGCCUGGGCUCCUCCUUCUCUAGCUGUGUGUCUCUGUUGAAGGGCUACCAAGUCAGGCCCGGUUGUGAGGUGAAUAGCUACGGGGCUCCCAGGCGGUACUGGACGUACCUGCCUACAGCAGAGAGCAUCUGGACCAACCAAGAGCCAUCUCUGCCUGUCGUUCUUUCAUGAAGCAAGUAUUUCCUGACGUCUGUGCUUUGUACUCCCAAGGCUUUGCCUCCUGCUUCCAAAGGUCCCAAACAAGCCAAAGGAGAUGAAGGAAAAUGUAUGAAAAUCAGGCAACGCACCAGGACUUCUGCCCACACGGCAGCGGGGAAAACCGUGCCAUCAGCAAGGGUGGUCGGCACUAGCCCAGCCCAUGGCACUGGGACAAACACCUUUGUUCCAUUUCCCAAACUUCCCAUACUUUAAGACCGUGUUUUGCUAACAGAGAAUCCCAUGGAAUGCUAGCACAGGGCUUGAGAGCACAUGGCUUCUAGACUGCAGGAAGGGAGGCUGGAGCGGAGGUCAGCUUCGAGACCUCCUCUCCCCACCGUGGCAUGCCCAGGGCCAGUGAAAAGUGCCCCACUGGGGCUGCCAGAGGUCAGAGUCCUGGCUGGGGGUGGGGGGAGGGGGUACCCCCUGGAGACUCAGACCCCAGUUAGAAAGUCCAGGGUGACCAGUGCGCCAAGGGUAACAGAUGGAGAGUCUUACACAGGCCUUUGAACUUCCUCUUUGGCACAGUAAACCUGGAAAGCAGAGAGGGAGAAAUGAGGGUGCAGAUUGUCCGAGAGGGUGGGGUAGCCCUGUGAGCUGGCUUAGCCAAACCUCAGUUUAGUCAUCCAUAAAUGGGGACCGCAAAACGGAGAGGAUAGUUUUUGCUUGUUAUUUUAUGUGUUUUGAAAAGGGGGUCUUGUUAUAUAACCUGGAUUAACCUGGAACUCACUCUGUAGCCCAGGCUGGCAUUAAACUUUCAAUCCUCCCGCCUCAGCCUCCUGAGUGUUGGGGUUAUAGACGUAGACCACCACAUCUGGCUCCGUUGAGGGGACCGAGUGACUUAAGUGCCCUUUAGUCCCUAUCGGAUCAUGCCCCACAGACAGGGGAUUCAGGAAAUGCUUUGAAAGACCAGAUGACUGCCCAGCCGUGGCUCUUACUGACUGGGGGUUCCUCUCUCUAUCAACGGGAGUGGUAAACUCUCCCUGUGUCUGAGCAAGAAGCUCUCUCUGCUUCCAGCCUCCCUGAUCCAAGCCGUAGCUGGAAGCUCUGGCACUGUAAGCCUGAGGCUUUCUAGAUUCCGGCUUGUGAGGAUCUCUCAGAGGCCCAGGCUGUGGAAACUGCCACAACAGGUCCUCCGAGCAGCAGCCUGCCGGAACAAGAUGGAUUAUGGCUUUGUGGGGGGAAUCAGAUGCGUAAAAAGCCUGCGAAGGUCAAAUGAGAUAAAUCCACGUGGGUUGUGAUUUCCCAUCUAAAUGUUAACAUUGGCCUUGCUGAGAUAAGACCUUUGCAUUUCUGUUGCGAAUCUGUGGACUGAUUUCUUCAAAGAGAAUAACCAGGGUUUAAUGGUGGAAAUCUGGGACCCUUUGAGUGACCUGAGGUGGCACCAGGCAUGUGUGCUCUGACCAGCUGGAUCUGUGCACAGAGGCCUCCUCAGGUCCCAGUGGAUCUAGCUGAGAUUUUGGCUACAAUCUGAAGUAUGGAGUCGUGCCAGCAAUAAAGAGAACGCCUUGUAGGAGGCAAAGGGCACCCACUGGGCCCUGGGCUAGCUUGGUAAAUAUCUGCUUGUAGCCUUGUGUUUGGGGUUGAGGAGUGUAUGUGGGGUUAUCUUACCCCCUCCAAGGAAGGCCUAAGGGGAUUAGGGUUUCCAAGUCCUUGUCCCUUCCAUAAUCCGUGCCUUUGAGUCUUUAACCAAACGGGAGCCAGAGCAACAGCCAGGAUCAUGGUUUUCCAUUUUGCAAGAUGGAAACUGAGGCUACACAAGUAACUUAGUCUAGAUCCCACGGAGGCGAGGUUCCGCUUUUGAGAGCUGGGAUCUCUAAAGCAGGUUUCCCAAAGGGCUGCCUCUCCUGAUUAUGGAUUAUUAGAUAUGGAUGGUGGAAUUUCUCUCCCUCUGUAAUUUUCUUAUGUGCUUGUUUGCUUUCAAAGAGAACCUCAAUAUAUAGGUCAAGUGACAAAUGCCAUUUUAAUGUUUGUGGAAAUGGCCAAAUUGCUCCCCAGUAACAAGUAACAAUCCACUUAUACACCUAGCACCAGUUCUGAGUUCUGAGGCAGGGCCUGCAACUGUUUAGCAAGCCCCACCCAUUUCCUCUCCAACCCUGGGAUUACAACCCUGGAAAUACCCAACCUGACACCUUUACUCACAUGGGUCCUGAGCGUUGAAUUUGGGUUUUCUUGCUUGCAAGGCAAACAUUUUACCAGUGGAGCCAUUAUCCCCCAGACCCCCUUUCGUCCUUUUACUUUUCUUUUGCUUACUUAUCAUUAUUUACUCAUCUUGCCUCUGGUACAGACUCACAUAGCUCCUGGGCUAGCUUUGAACUCCUGAUCCUCCUCCAUCACCUUCCCAAAGCAGCUGGCGUUACAAGCCCGCACAUUCAGCCUUCGCUAUAUCUUAUUUUCUUUUGAGACAGAGUUUCUUUGUGUAGCCCUGGCCAUCUUGGAACUCACUCUGCAGACUUGUCUCUCUCUGUAAGAGAGUUGGCUUAGUGGUUAAGAGCAAUUGCUACUAUUCUAGGAGGCCUGGGUUCGAUUCCCAGCACCCGAAUGGCAGCUCUGGACGUAACUAAUUCCAGGGGAUUUGACAAGCUCUUCUGAAGGUACCAGGCACGCACAUUGCUCUGAGGCAUACAAGCAGGUCCUGGGGACUGAAUUCACAUCGCUGAACCUGUGUAGCCAUCACUCCUAGCUACCGAGCGAGCCCUCUAGCCACCCGCAAUGGAUGGAAACAUCUUUUAACUGACAUGUACACAUCUGAGGACUAAACCAGGAUCUUUCGUGGUAAGUAGUAGUUACCUGGGGGUAAAUGGUGGAUCCUAGAACCAGGAAGUAGAGCAGGACACAUCACCAAGAGGAGCUAAGUCGCCAGCAUGAUUGCCCUCCGACUUGACUUCAUGCACUGCCCUUUCUAUCUCUGGCUAUGGUACAGGCUUUCCAGUAAGGACAAUAGGCUGCUCGGGUGAGCCACACUAAUCCGUAAUCCCUGACCGUUUGCCACUCCCAUAGAGUGCAGCUAGACCAUGAGGCUAGCUUUACUACAAAUCAAAACAGCAGUAGUCAUCGUUCUAGACAUUCUAAGAGGAAAGGAAAGAGAAGUGGGUGUUUAAUGAGCACCUACUGGUGCCAGCCUUGUGUAUAAGGAUUCAGGACCCCGGACUGAAAGGAGUCUAAAACCUGGGUAUGAAGGGGUACAGCUGGGGGUUGGGGAUUUAGCUCAGCGGUAGAGCGCUUGCCUAGCAAGCGCAAGGAAGGCCCUGGGUUCCGUCCCCAGCUCCUAAAAAAAGAAAAAGAAAAAAAAAGAAGGGGUACAGCUGUAAUCCCAGCACUGAGACAGGACUACAAUGGGCUUUGGGCCAGCCUGAACUACACAGUGAGUUUUGGGCUAGCCAGGUCUACAUAGCAAAACCCUGUCUCAAAAGACCAAGGAGAGAAGGAGGGGAAAAAGAGGGAAAGAAUAAAAUAAAAUAAAGGAGAAAGGGAGCGGGGAGGGCAGGGAGAGAGGAGCAUGGUGUCUCAUUUGCAGUCUCAGAUCAGGGGAGCCCUUGGGCCCAGGAGAUCAAGUCAGCCUGGGUAACACAAGAGUGCAGCUCGUGUGCCUGGGGGGAGGGGGAGGACACUGUGACCUUGUUCCAAAAAAAUAAGGAGAGGGGGGUGGUGUGGUGUUAGGUUUCACAACUCUGAAUUCGAGGAGAGAGGGUUUCCUACUGAACAAGAGAAAACAACCCGGCUUGUACCUAUUUGCUUCUCCAUACUUUGUAAUUAAUAAGCCAGAGUAAUAUUUUUAGUUUUUAUUUCAAAAAGUGUCUAGGGUUGGGGAUUUAGCUCAGUGGUAGAGCGCUUGCCUAGCAAGUGCAAGGCCCUGGGUUCGGUCCCCAGCUCAAAAAAAAAAAAAAAAAAAAAAGUGUCUAAAUCCAACACCUCUUAUUAAAUAUCUCUGGUCAGAUGUCUGGAGUUCCUAGCCUCACACCUCCUGGGUCAGAGACGGCUGCUCAAAUGGUACCAGCCCCAACCUCCCAGAGGGCGAGCAAACCCCCCCCUCAGCCCCACCCUGGGGCCUCUGGGUGGAGAACUUGCAUUUCUAACCAGCUGUCCCAACGAUGUGACAUCGGUGCCGCUCUGUGCCUUGGAAUAACCCAUGUGGCUCUCUUAAGAAGGCUGGUACUUAGCUCCUGCCAAGGCGUAAUGAACCUGGCGCAGGUGGGGCAUCGGGAUUCCGAACAUGCUGGCCCGCUCAGGAACCUGAAGGUUUACAGGGAGAGGCACAGGCAGGAUUAGGGUCCCCAGGAAUUCACAGGCAGCCUCCUUGUCUUCCUCUAGUCUGCCAGACGGUGUAGCCCAGAAUGGAGGGCUGCCUUGCUUAGCCAUCCUUUCACACUGUGACUGUGACUUGGUUUUAUUUACUCUAUCUAGAAAUGGUCAUGUAUCUCAGGCUGGCCUAGAACUCUCUAAAGAUGAAUUUGAACUCCUGACCUCUCCAGGACUAAGGCUAGAGUCCUGAGCUACCUAGGCUGGUUCCUAUGCCUGUGUCUUUGAAGCCAAGCAAAGCUGUUUGCUAAUUUGAGGGGGGAAGUGUGUGGACCUGACACGGUUCCAGUUAGGCGUCUUACUGAGCAGCUGGUGUCUCUACACAAGCUUUCCCUGCGGAACAUCGGUUCUCAACAGCCCCAACACUGCAACCCUUUAAUACAGUUCCUCGUGUUGUGGCGACCCCAACCAUAAAACUGUAUCAUUGCUACUUCAUAACUGUAAUUUUGCUACUGUCAUGAAUCAUAAUGCGGAUAUCUGAUCUUUGAUCCCCUGUGGGGUCAUGACCCACAGGUUGAGAACCACAGCUGUAGAGGCUUCUGUAAGCUGCAGUCAAGCACAGCCACCUCCUCGGGUAGGCACACACCUAUCACCUUGCCGUGGUCCCUGCCAUUGCCUUGUAUGCCAAUGCCCUCCCCUGCACUGUCCAGGAUGGUACUGUUUUUAGCUGCUUUGUGCUAUGUGUACAUGUAUAGCUUACAUGUAGUGUGUGCAUGUGUGACAUGUGUGUACAUAUGUGUGUCUGUAUGUAGUAUAUGUAUAUACAUAUGUAUGCAUGUGCAUACAAAUACAUACAUGUGUAUAUGUUUGUGUAUGGUACAUGUGUGAUAUGUACAUGCACAUAUGUGGAUCCAUAUGGAGUAUAUCUGUGUACACAUGUGUACAAGUGCACGCAAGUGUAUGUGUUUGUAUACGGUGUGUGUGUGUGUGUGUGUGUGUGUGUGUGUGUGUGUGUAUGUGUGUGUGUAGGAAGAGCAAUGGGGUCAUGCCCUGUCUAGCCCACAGAAGAGAAGUGGACCUCCAUCAUCGGUUAUCUAGCCUAGGGUCUGUCACAGACUUAAAGGGUGGGAUUGAAUAGCUCUCUCACUCUCUGAGUCUGUUUCCUACUGUGCAAGGUAAAGGGUUGAGUGUGCAGAGUUUAAGUAGGUAAAGGGUUGAGUGUGCAGAGUUUAAGUAGGUAAAGGGUUGAGUGUGCAGAGUUUAAGUAGGUAAAGGGUUGAGUGUGCAGAGUUUAAGUAGUUCUUAUUUUAGGAUAAGCUGGGGGUUAGAAGGAAGGUCCUAAGUCCUGGGCAGGAGAAGUCUGGGCCCUGGGGCACGCGGAAGAGGAACUAUGGCUUACGCCUUUUCUGACCACAGGCGUGUGACACUCCCCAGUCAGAGCUGGGUUCCAAGUCUCCACCCACAGGUCAAGACUCACCUUGUUCCCAUACCCACUGUGGUGGCCGCACUGUGGAAGCGGCUAUACCCUCAAGAUCUGCGAUUCAAUGGGACCAGUCAUGUGGCUUUUUGUGUUCCUUGGCAGUAUAGCUCAGGCAGAUAACCACCCUACUGGGCCUCAGUGUUUCCAUGUGUACAAUGGGCUGGUAAUGGGCAGGCUGCUAUAGCACACAGCUGAGCUGCCCUGCUUGGAAGGGACCAUCCCAACAGUCACAGUGAGGUGGAGACAUUAAGUUGCCAAGUCUCAGCCCAGCCCUGAGGUGCAUGUCUUGAUACCAAGAACUCUGUUGCCUUCUCAAGUCCCAAUGGAGUCCGGGUUCUUUGAAAAGGAAGACUGUUCUAACCUGAUUACUAAAUGUUUCUCGGACUCCACACAAACUUGUGCCCCUUGAUCGGGUGGUCUCGUAGCCCUUGUAGUGAGUACUCUAUGCCUUGAGUCAGACAGACCUCCCCACCCCAGCCAACGGAUAACCCUGACUGAGUUAAUCUCUCAGUAAAUGGGAAGAGCUCCACAGGGUCUAAUCUGAGCUCCACACGGACAGGGUUCACUUCUCUCCUGGCAUCAAGUGCAGCGCCUGAGGACUCGAUCGAGUGAUACUGUGUGGGCACAUGGUGGCCACUGUGUUGUUUCUUGGAUUUGACUCUCUGGAUGUCUCUGUUUUGUUCCUGUGUUCUCUUGUGGCCUACCUGUGGGGACACACCCCGGGAAAUUGUGACCAGGAUUUAUCAGGCCUUUUGUCAUCACUGUUGGCUCCCACCCUAACCUCCCUGGACAAUUGCAGCACCAGAGUCCUCCGCCCCAGGGCCUGUCCCACAUCCCAACUGCUUCGUCUACUCAGAUGAGCUCAACACCCACCUACACGCGGGCAGUCACCCCACCAUUCACUCACCGACACCCUUUGAGGAGUAGCUGCUCUUCCCCACGUGCCUGCCCUGCGACCCCAGCACCUGCCUCUCAGCAUGGCACUGAGUUCCACCGACCCUGUUGGUCAAUGCUACCGCAGCAGGCUUGCCCCUCCUGGACUCACACUGGCUUCUGCUUUAAGGUGUUCUAAGUGGCUGGUGCAUCAGCCAUUGUAUGCACCUGAGAUAGAAACCCAAAACUGGACGCUACCCACAACACCCCAGCCAGGCACCCAGGCUGGAGGGUCCCCUAACUGCUCUUCAUGCCUUAUCCCUCUCAACCACUCCCUGCUUUGCACCCCACAUCCCCUUCUGGUUUCUACCAGGCACUGGUCCACCUUCCUCCCAUACCACAUCCACCCCAUCCCCAUCCCCACCCCCAGCCCCAACCCCAGCCUCCAUCCUCCUGCUGCUCCUAGGAAGCUCCACCUCCCAUCAGCCCCGAUGCCUCCCAGUUGCUGUCAAUCUAAGCUCUUGGCCUGCACGAAACGUUCCCAUGAUCUGAGGUCCUACCGUCUACCCAGCUUUCUUUCCCAGCUCCCAUAAAGCCCCCGCCCCCGCUCCCCCAUCAUUCUGGGUCUCACCUCUCUCGUUUCCUCCUCCUCCCCAGAUACCUUUCCUUCAUCCCUUAACCUAGUCAACCCUUACUCACCUUUCAAAGCCAGUCCAAAGUCACCUGCUCUAGGAAAGCCACCCACCCGCCCGCCUAGAUUACAGACUCAGACUCUUCGGCCUCGUCCCCAUUACCUGGGCGUGACCCCUUUGCUGAGCUUGCCAUGUUAUUUUAUAAUUAUUUGCUCUGUGUCUGGCUUCUCCAUUAUUAGUUUAUUGGGGGCAGACCAUGCUUACUCAUUGCUGUACCCCCCUCGCCCAAUAUUUCUGCUUUGUGAAAUCACUCAUUCUGUGUUGUAAGUGCACUAUCUCAUUUUGUUGUUGUUGUUUUAAAGAUUUAUUUAUUUUAUGUGAAUACACUGUCACUAUACUCACAAUCUUCAGACACACCAGAAGAGGGCAUCGGAUCCCAUUACAGAUGGUUGUGAGCCACCAUGUGGUUGCUGGGGAUUGAACUCAGGACCUCUGGAAGAGCAGUCAGUGCUCUUAACCCCUGAGCCAUCUCUCCAGCCCUUUGUUGGUGGUUCUGUGGAGCUGGAAUUUGGGAAGGCCAGGCACUUCUCACCUGGGGUCUACUAUGGGCUGCCAUAAUCCAAAAGCAUAAUAUGGCUCCAGUCACCUGGGCUUGCCACUGGAGUUCUGUGACCUGCCUCUUGGUUAGGCAACCUCAGGGUACUUGAACUUCUUACAGAGUGUCCCCAAACCCAGCUGGACCUCCCACAAUAUCUAGAAGGAAUCAUCUGGUCCCAUGAACCAGGCAGUGUCACUUCCUCUGAAUUCAAGGGGUGAAAAGCGAGUUCCUAAGGUCAGUCCAGAUUCAAAAGCGGAGGGACAGAGAACUACCUUAAACGGGUAUUAAAGAAUCUGUAGUCUUGGCGGCCGAGCAGUAGUGUGCUUAGGGACAGUGGGGACCUGCUCAAGGACUGCCUUGGGGGUGCUCUCCUGCCUCUCCUUGCCGGCUCCGCUGCGUAGGCUCUUUGUGCUGUCUUUUUUUUUUUUUUUUUUUUUGGUUCUUUUUUUCGGAGCUGGGGACCGAACCCAGGGCCUUGCGCUUCCUAGGCAAGCGCUCUACCACUGAGCUAAAUCCCCAACCCCUGUGCUGUCUUUUAACACCAAUGACAGCAUGUGUUCUUGCUGUUCUCAGACUGGCUUUUGCGACUAUUCUGGUCUAGAGCGUCCUUCAGUGCUUGCCGCCUGCCCCCAUUCAUUUUUUUCCUGCUCUAUAAUAUGCCAUACGACUGCCGCAUGGCUCUCUAAACUCUUCUGCACACGACGCCACACAUCUUGGUGGCUUCCAAUGGCUUGUUGUGCCAGGGCAGUGAGAGUGGAGGGCCAUGUGUCCCUGGCUGCUUUCCUGUUCUGUGCAGGGGGGGGGGGGCGGAGGGUAGUGCUGUGCACCCGCAACCCCGAGCCCUCUGCGAGCGGGCGGAGACCGAGGCCUCAGGCCCCAGGCCACCCGCAGCCACGGCUGUGUAACCGGGCUUACGUAACCGAGCCCAUGAAACCCAAAUUAAAAGAGGAAACCAUCCUCCUGCCGCUCAACUCGCUUAAUCCCUAUCUGUCUCUGCCCUGGGCCCCGCGCUCCCCUCCGAAGGUCUUGAACGCGUUCCAGAUUUCUAAUUUCGUUUGCUUAUGCAACCAAAAAUAUGAUGGCCGCGUUUCCCGGGGGUGAUGGAGUCUGUACUCCAGGCGCGCUAAAAACGGCAGCGCCGGGCUGCUGGAGGCGGGGGCGACGCGGGCGGAGCCGGGCGGCUGGAGACGCAGGACCGGCGGUGUCCUGUGGUCCCCAGCCUCCUCGUGAUUUCCACUGCCCGCUGAUCCCUGCGAGCGCGGCGGAGGGGGUGCAUCUUUCACCCGCGUGCCCCACCCCCAACACCUGCUGGGAGACGCGCGUCGCACCAGCGUUCAGAAAUAGGGAGAAAAAGAAAAAGAAAAGACGGAAAGGAAAUAGCACGCCUCUCACCAGGGGAGGGAUGGAGCGGACAGGAAAACCGAGUUGCUGAUUUAAAAGAAAGUAGGGUAGACUGAGAUCUGAGAUGCGUUGAGGUAGAUCCAAUUGUUAUUUUAUAUUUUAUAUAUAUAUAUAUAUAUAUAUAUAUAUGCAAGCCGAGGAAAUAGAAUAUGAUUGUGUCUGUGCUGUUUUAUUUAAAUCUGAAAACGGUGCUGGAGAUCUAUAGUCCAGGCGUUAGCGCAUGGAGACCUGGGUUACAUUCCUAGCGCCUCAUAAACUGAAUUUAGCGCUCCACAUCUGGAAUCCCGGCUGAAGGAGGAGGGGGCAGGAGGAUCAGGCGUCCAGAGGGUAGCUUCAGCUACCUGGUUGAGUUUUGAGACUUGAGAACCUCUCUCAAAAUGGAAAAGAACACAGGGUGGGGUGGGCAGUAAGAUGGCUCAUCCGGUAACUGAACUUGCUGCCAAAACUUGUGGCGUGUACGUGUCCAUCACCAAUAAGCCUAAAACAGGUUUUUUUUUAGGUUUACCCCCACCCCCACGCCGCAGUCUCUGGUAGGGUGGGAGUGGGGGUGGGGGAGGGAGAGAGCUUUCGGUGUGCCAAGCGCUCAUGUGGAGGUCAAAGGUCAGCAUUCAGGAGUCAGUUCUCUCCUGAUUGUCCACAAGUACCUAUAUUGGCUGAGGCCCGCUCCUGCUCCACCUUUAAAGAAAAUAAAAAUAAGGGCUGGAGAGAUGGCUCAGCGGUUAAGAGCACCCGACUGCUCUUCCAGAGGUCAUGAGUUCAAUUCCCAGCAACCACAUGGUGGCUCACAACCAUCUGUAAAGAGAUCUGAUGCCCUCUUCUGGUGUAUCUGAAGACAGCUACAGUGUACUUAUAUAUAAUAAAUAAAUAAAUCUUUAAAAAAAAAAAAAAGAAAGAAAAUAAAAAUAAAGUCUGCAGAUGAAGCGACUUCCCAGCUACGGAGGAGAGCAGCUGAGGCUAGCAGGCCUUGCAAGUUGGAGGCCCGCCUGAGGUACGUGGUAGCUCAAGGGCAACCUAGGCAAUUUCCCAAGACCUUGUCUUAAAAUUAAAACAAAAACAAAUCUUAUGAAAACCAAAUCUGAGGAGAUUGCUUAGUGGCAGAGCAUUGCAUAUCGGUCCCAAGGCCUUGGGUCUCAUUCCCGGUCAAGAGAGAG